UUAGAGUUUGAUCCAGGCUCAAGACGACCCCUGGCGGCGCGCCUAACACAUGCAAGUCAAACGAGCGAGAGAGAGCUUGCUUUCUCGAGCGAGUGGCGAACGGGUGAGUAACGCGUGAGGAACCUGCCUCAAAGAGGGGGACAACAGUUGGAAACGACUGCUAAUACCGCAUAAGCCCACGGGUCGGCAUCGACCAGAGGGAAAAGGAGCAAUCCGCUUUGAGAUGGCCUCGCGUCCGAUUAGCUAGUUGGUGAGGUAACGGCCCACCAAGGCAACGAUCGGUAGCCGGACUGAGAGGUUGAACGGCCACAUUGGGACUGAGACACGGCCCAGACUCCUACGGGAGGCAGCAGUGGGGAAUAUUGCACAAUGGGGGAAACCCUGAUGCAGCGACGCCGCGUGGAGGAAGAAGGUCUUCGGAUUGUAAACUCCUGUUGUUGGGGAAGAUAAUGACGGUACCCAACAAGGAAGUGACGGCUAACUACGUGCCAGCAGCCGCGGUAAAACGUAGGUCACAAGCGUUGUCCGGAAUUACUGGGUGUAAAGGGAGCGCAGGCGGGAAGACAAGUUGGAAGUGAAAUCUAUGGGCUCAACCCAUAAACUGCUUUCAAAACUGUUUUUCUUGAGUAGUGCAGAGGUAGGCGGAAUUCCCGGUGUAGCGGUGGAAUGCGUAGAUAUCGGGAGGAACACCAGUGGCGAAGGCGGCCUACUGGGCACCAACUGACGCUGAGGCUCGAAAGUGUGGGUAGCAAACAGGAUUAGAUACCCUGGUAGUCCACACCGUAAACGAUGAUUACUAGGUGUUGGAGGAUUGACCCCUUCAGUGCCGCAGUUAACACAAUAAGUAAUCCACCUGGGGAGUACGACCGCAAGGUUGAAACUCAAAGGAAUUGACGGGGGCCCGCACAAGCAGUGGAGUAUGUGGUUUAAUUCGACGCAACGCGAAGAACCUUACCAAGUCUUGACAUCCCUUGACAGGCAUAGAAAUAUGUUUUCUCUUCGGAGCAAGGAGACAGGUGGUGCAUGGUUGUCGUCAGCUCGUGUCGUGAGAUGUUGGGUUAAGUCCCGCAACGAGCGCAACCCUUAUGGUCAGUUACUACGCAAGAGGACUCUGGCCCGACUGCCGUUGACAAAACGGAGGAAGGUGGGGAUGACGUCAAAUCAUCAUGCCCUUUAUGACUUGGGCUACACACGUACUACAAUGGCGUUAAACAAAGAGAAGCAAGACCGCGAGGUGGAGCAAAACUCAGAAACAACGUCCCAGUUCGGACUGCAGGCUGCAACUCGCCUGCACGAAGUCGGAAUUGCUAGUAAUCGUGGAUCAGCAUGCCACGGUGAAUACGUUCCCGGGCCUUGCACA
rnacentral:rRNA from 1 species